CGCAGCGCCUCGAUCGCCGCGUGGUCCGGCGGGCCCCGUCCCCGAGGAUCUCAGCAGCUCCUCGAAGUAGCGCUCGUGGUCCGGGGGCGGGCUGGCCUGGAGGACGUCUUGGCCGGC
rnacentral:rRNA from 1 species